rnacentral:sRNA from 1 species
GCUCUAGGGAGACGUCCGCCGCCGAGCGA